ACUUAAGUAAAAACAAAUACAAAACGACUGAACAUUAAAAGAAGGUGUAAACAGCAAAAACACUGAAAAUGGCAUUUAUGGUAUACAUGCGUGCAUACAUGAUUGUUCAUUUAACUGCUGGUGUAUGUUUAAAAAGUGAAAAUGUCAAUCACAAAUGAUAUCUUGACUUAUAGUUAAAUGCAUCCAAUUUACUGAAAAUCUACAUAUAUUUCAGUCUUAUUUGCAACCAACAUGUAAAAUAAUAUUUGUGUGUUGAGUGCGAGAGGAGUUCAUGAUGUGAGAACUACACCUACACACGUUAAAAAAAGAGGACAAAUAAUAAAAAAUACACAAGGCAUCAAUGCUGAACUUUGCACUACAUUAAAUAAAACUGAUUUAUUCAGUUUUAAAGUCCCCAAAUAAGUAUAAUUACAUAUAUACACAAAGUAAACCAACAAGUUCUCAUACAUCUUUACAGCCGUGACUUUGGCAGUAUAUAUUUUUUUCCAGCAUAUUCUCGAGGUGACCCCCAUCCGUUCAGCACCUUAGUGUACCCCCCUUACUGUGACAAGAGCUAUUUUAGGAACUCUCCCAAUUAGGAAGGGCAUUCUCAGACAUCUGUGCAACCCACGGCUUCCCUUGCCCACUAUGUAAUGCAACUAACUUUUUUCUAACUUGAUUUGAACUGAUCACAUGUACAUAACUCAUAUUGCAGAGGCAUCUUGUCAGUCCUGUCAAAUAUGCAUUUAACCUCAAGGGAAAUGGAGAGAUCUUUACAUUUUAUUUGUGGCUUAUUAUUAUAUAUCCUCUACACAGCCACAUUACAGCACAAUGUCUAUGCAAAACAAACAGGAGUGACUUGCUGCUGCUGGGAUUUAAACCACGUGCGCAGCCAAAUGAAGCAAUCCGAUCCAGAUUACACACGCUCCCAUCAAAAAAAAAACUAACCAAAUAUAUUUAACAUGCAUAUAAAAGGAACUUUAAUCAGUUUAUCUAAUAUAAACCCACCAAAUCAUGCAAUUAUAAGGUUGCAUCAGGUUACAAACAGGCAUGCACAGUUCAAGUAUUUGUUUAACACCAGUCAGGCAGGGAAAAAAGACAGCAGCUGAACACAAAACACAAGACAAUAAAGCUAGUUUUGGUUGAAAACAGAUGGUCAACAGAUUGGAGUUUUUGCACAAUUAGCAUUGUACAGCCUGUUUAGAAAUUUCGCAGAUUUUAUACGCAUAAAAUGAUCGACUUUCACCGCUGUAAUGUGUGUGGAACGAGGCAUUAUUAGUCUUUUAGAGGCGAUCAGAAGGUCAGAAGAGACACUUGUAGGUAAACUGUCAACAUCAGACGUGGCUUGGCCAGUCAAGAAGGUUAGUUUAAGUGACCAUGUGUAACUGAACUGUGUCGUGACCCAACAUGUUUUUAUUCCCGUAACCCUCAAAAGUAAAGCCCGAUAAAUGUCAGUUUAAGGUUUCAAUGACCACGUCAUUGAAAUGUAAGCACCCCGUAAGCACUGCAGUCUACAAGCUAGAUAAAGAAAACGCCGAUAAAUCCGUUUAGAUGUAAUAUUAACUACUGCAUUGACCGUUGCAGAUGCCAUGUAACGUUAACCGUUUAAAGAAGAGUUUUAUUAAGGUGAAAUAUCCUAGCCUGGCUAUCGCUGGGCAUUUAACUUUCUGACUUCCAACUCCUACCAACUUUAAACCAGCCCACCCACCGCCGCGAAAUGUACAAACUGUCAAAUACUGUCGGUAUAAAUGCCGACAGGAACGCAGAAGCACAUCGAAGUUAGGGUGUGAGAGAGUUGACACGAGUUUUAAUCCGUGCGGCCUGUGCUCACUGUGUCCAGCCACACCGCGUUCCACUACAGCUGCCUACGGAUCGCUGAUAGCAUCAUCAACGGUAUCUAGGCCUGUUGCUAGGUUAUCAAACACGCAUAUAUGCAGCACAAUAAAGCAUCGACCAAUGAAGAUAUCACCCUAACUCUAUAAUCCUAACCCGCUAUCAUCUACAUCUAAUCUCAAGCACAUGAACAGAAAAAACGCUGUGUCAUGCAACAAUGUAAUUCUGAGAAAUGACACUGAAUAUUGCACUUUAAAUGAUCUAUACUGUGUGUGGGUUAUGUGCUGCUCUUGAAACUGUUGAAACAAAAAGGAAACAAUCUCUAUUUCCUCUGAAUUGUAAUGUGAUACUCUUUGCCUCCAAUACAAGUGAAGACUUGUGUUCAUAUGACUGUUUUUCAUUGUUUAUAUGUUGCCUGAU